UUGAAACAUUGGUUUCUGUAUGAUCACUGAAGUUAAGCAACACUGUGCCUGGUCAGUACCUGGAUGAGUGACCACUUGGGAAUACCAGGUGCUGGAU